rnacentral:rRNA from 1 species
UACGGAGGGUGCAAGCGUUAUCCGGAUUCACUGGGUUUAAAGGGUGCGUAGGUGGGCAGGUAAGUCAGUGGUGAAAUCUUUGGGCUUAACCCGAAAACUGCCAUUGAUACUAUUUGUCUUGAAUAUUGUGGAGGUCAGCGGAAUAUGUCAUGUAGUGGUGAAAUGCUUAGAUAUGACAUAGAACACCAAUUGCGAAGGCAGCUGGCUACACAUAUAUUGACACUGAUGCACGAAAGCGUGGGGAUCAAACAGG